GAGAGAGAGAGCCAUGAAAAGCCUGAAGCUCCCACACUCCCUGCACAGCAGCCAUGGAAGCAAGACUCUCAUCCCAUUUCCCAACAGAAAACUUGCGCUUUCGACUGGAAAUAAUGAUCUUUGGGAUUAUGCAGAUCUUUUUACAAAACCAUUACCCUUUUUUCUCCUAGUAUUUUUCCCAGUGGUCAUUGUGAUCUAAAAGAAGCACGUCGCAUGCAAUUCAGCAUGAGCAGUACAUCAGCAUCAAUAGAGCCCAUGAGUGAGGAACUGAUGGGGGAUACAUCUAAGGAUCUCCCUGUAAGUGGGGAUUCUAUUUGCCGUCGAUUUCUUAGUUUGCUUCCCAUGGUCACAAGGUUCUUCCAAGUGCUUCUCUAGUGCCAGAUGAUCAACAGUUCACUUACAAUUGCAAGAAUGCGUUUAUUAAAUAUUUCCAGUGAAAUCAUAAAUAAAGGCAUAAUCUCAGAAGGUUCCCUGAGAGGUAACUCGUGCUACAAUUGCACAAAGGUGCAUACGUACCAAUGAUGUGGAGAAUGUAGGGCGAACAGCUCGACAUCAUACAUUCUUUGAGAUGCUUGGAAACUUCAGUUUUGGAGACGAAUUCAAGAAGCAAGCAAUUAAAUGGGCGUGGAAGCUCUCAACCAUAGAAUUUGGAUUGCCAGCCAACAGACUAUGGAUUAGUGUUUAUGAAAAUGAUGAUGAAGCUUUUGAAAUCUGGCAUGAUGAGGUCUGCCAAACAAAAUCUCAUAACUAGUUAUAUGUUAAUUUCCAUGUUUGACUACCUCGUAUUCAGUUUUCACUACUUAUGCACUUACAUUUUUCUUUUGUAUGCAUAUACUCUUCCAUGUACAUCAUUAUGUGUCUAAAUCUGUAUCUUUCUACAAGGAGACACAAUAAAGUCUUGUUGUCAUUGUUGUUGUUGUGCUUGAAUGUGAGUGGUCUUAUAAAUGGCAACAUAUUCACAUGAACUUUAGUCCUGAACUUGCAUAUGAGACCUUGAAUCAUUAUUUUUAUAUCAACUUGUCUUCUAUAUAAGGCAGUUUUCCAUAAAUUAUUUCACAGUAAAACUUACAGACUUAAGGAAUUGGCUACAUCAUGAGCAAGAACAUCAAAAUCAACAGCUAUUAACAUAAAAAUAUUUUCAUGAAGGAAGAAAUUAGAAUACAAUAAACCAGUCAACAUAAACCGAAACAUUCAUGUCAAUCAUAAUCAUUAUGGAUAUGGUUGUGUAAUUAUAUAGUCCCUACAUAGACUUCUUGGUUUGUUUGGAUUGUUUAUUUAGAACUAUAGAAUUACACAACCAUAUCCGCAAUGAUUCUAAAUAAACAAUCCAAACAAACCAAGAAGUCUAUGUAGGGACUAUAUAAUUACUUAAAAACAUAUUUCUCUGUUUAUUAGAGAUUAGAUAAUUGCACAAACCACAAGCAGCAAAAGUGUGGCCUCUGUCUAACCAAGCUGGAAAUUGCAACCAUUGCAAAAAGAACACUAAU